GAGAACAACCUCUAGGAGUUGAGAGCAGUCCCUGGCUGAUACCAAGAAAACAAGACUUCAGUUCUAUAGCUGCAAAGGAAUGAAAUCCGCCAAUAAAAGGAAUGAUCUUGGAAGAGGACCAUGAGCUCCAGUUUUUCUUCCAGCUCUCAUGGAACAAGCACUGCCACAGCCCCUUGAUGAGCCAGCACAGCCCAGUCAUCUGGCAACAAUGACGGGUAUCUGGCAUCUGAGAGGAAUAUCAACUAAAGACAAUGAGAGAAUUAAAAAAGAAAUAAACACAAGACAAUCUUUUUUUUCACCCCCUUAGAUUCUGCAUUUCCACUUGCUUGAUUCAGUAAUUGUUUUGUUUUGAAUGUUGUGUAAAUGAAUGCUACAGCCCUAUGCAAUUUUUAAACCACUUUGCUGUGUGUCUCAUAUGGAGCUCAAUAAUGUUACUGCUGGCAUGAGUGCACCAUGAAGCAUAUGACUCCCUGAUGUAACAUUUUAAAUAAGGAGGAUACAUUUCUCAUCCAAUGUGACAUUAUGCAGGAAAAUUUCACUU
rnacentral:antisense_RNA from 1 species